rnacentral:rRNA from 1 species
UACGGAGGGUGCGAGCGUUAAUCGGAAUUACUGGGCGUAAAGCGCACGUAGGCGGUCAUGUAAGUGGGAUGUGAAACCCCCGGGCUUAACCUGGGAAUUGCAUACCAGACUGCAUGGCUAGAGUAUGAGAGAGGGUGGUGGAAUUUCCGGUGUAGCGGUGAAAUGCGUAGAGAUCGGAAGGAACAUCAGUGGCGAAGGCGGCCACCUGGCUUAAUACUGACGCUGAGGUGCGAAAGCGUGGGGAUCAAACAGG